AUUUAUAUAGUUUAAUUCAAAACAUUACAUUUUCAAUGUAAAAUUAAAUCAUUUUUAUAAAUA
rnacentral:tRNA from 1 species